rnacentral:rRNA from 1 species
CCCUUAGAUGUUCUGGGCCGCACGCGCGCUACACUGUUCGACGCAGCGAGUCUUAACCUUGACCGAAAGGUUUGGGUAAUCUUCAGCAAAGUCGAACGUGAUGGGGAUCGAUCAUUGCAAUUAUUGAUCUUAAACGAGGAAUUCCUAGUAAGCGCAAGUCAUCAACUUGCGUUGAUUACGUCCCUGCCCUUUGUACACACCGCCCGUCGCUACUACCGAUUGAAUGGUUUAGUGAGGCCUUCGGAUCCGCGACUCGUUUUGUGGAGAAGUUGGACAAACUCAGUCAUUUAGAGGAAGUAAAAGUCGUAACA